CCCUUUAUAUAUGAUGUUUUGAGAUGUUCCUCCUUUUUCCCAAUUUAAAAUCAUUUAUUUUGUUUCCUAACAAAUCAUUUAUUUUAUCAAUUUACUAGAAAAAUGAGUCCUAAAAAGGCAUUUGCAUUGCACCUUACCCAGCCUGCCUUGCAGUUUUAGCUUUCAACCAUUGACUUAACCCCUUUCCCUAUGUACCACUGUUUCCCAUCACCACUGUGCUCCACCAUAGAACUGGCAAUUUCAGUCAACACAUUUUAAUCAGUAUAUCACUUAUAUUUCAGUUGGGUAAAUAUGGACUUCAGUCUAUUUUUAACCCAUUACGAACUCACUUUUGUAAUACCAAAGAAAGGUUCCAACCCCGAAAGCUUUUAUGGCCAGGAAAUGCUUCAAUCGUAGAACUACCUUUUCUACAUUUAUUUUAUGUUUUUUCUUUUUGUUAGACUUCUUUUCUUAAUUCGGUUAGUCCCUUGAAAUCCUUAGAAUUUUUUUGUUACAAAUUUGUCCAACUGUUUGUGAUUUUGUUUGUUGUUCCUUUUUAGGCUAAUUACCAAUUUUUCACAUGUAAUAACAGUGAUAGUUUUUUGAGAUUUUGUUUUUCUUCCCCUAAAUAUUCCACAAGUGAAAAGAAUCACUUACUCAAUUUGUUGUUUCCUAUUAAAUAAUUACUUUCUUCUUGAAAAUUCUUUUGACGUGUUUAUGCAAGUCGAGCUUUAUCAUAACCUUGCACAUAAAACCAAGCUAAGGAGUUCGUAGACGUUUCGUCGAGUCACUAAUUUGGAGGCAUGAAUAAAGAGUUGAAGUGCAAGAACAAGUUAAAAUGGAAGUACACAACUCCACGUGGAGUAGGGAGAAAGGGGCUAUGUUGUGGAUGCGAGGAAGUCAAUUAAGUAUUUGAUUAUAUUUUUUAAGUAGAUUUAUUUAUAAUUUAAGUAGCUUUAUUUAUUAUUCUAGAAUAGGGUUUUAUUUUCAUAAAGAUUAGGUUAAGCUAUUAGUUUGAAAUAGGAUUUAGGUUUCCUACUUUCACAAGGAUUAAACUUCUGACUCUUAUUGAAAGGAGUCUUUGAGAAAUAAAUCAACAAGUCAUAAGUGAAGUGCAAGAGAUCAGAGUUCUCUCUUCCAUUGAACUCUAAGGUUUUAGUCUCUCUUUGAAGAGCUGAAGAGCUCAGAGUUCUCUUUUAUUGAACUCUAAGGUUUCAGUCUCCCUUUAACUAGCUGAAUUUAUAUAUCGCCCUGUGAAUAAUUUUUCCCUAUAUGCAUUAAAUUGUUCAAAGGGAACAAACAAAAUGUAUAGCAGCAACCCAUAGGACCUGAAACCUAUUUACUUUUUGUUUGUUCCCUUUAAACAAUUGAAUACAUAUACGGAAGAAUUGAUUCACAGGGCAAUAUAUAAAUUCAGCUCAUAAAGGCUGAAACCUUAGAGUUCAAUAAAAGAGAGAACUAUGAUCUCUUCAACUCUUCAAAAGGAGACUCAAACCUUAAAGUCCCAUGGAAGAGAGAACUCUGAUCUCUUGCAUUUUGCUGAAAUAUAGCUUGUUGGUUUAAUCCGCAGGAACUCCUUUAAACAAGAGUUUUAUUACAACAAUAGGAAGUUUAAUCGUUAUGAAAAUAGGAAACCUAAAUCCUAUUUCAAACUAAUAACUAUAGCUUAACCUAAUCCUUAUGAAGCUAUAGAAUAAUAAAUAAAGUCACUUAAAUUAUAAAUAAAUCUACAAAAGAAAAUAUAGUCAAAUGCUAAAUUAAUUGACUUCCUCGUAUCCACAACAAGCUAUGUUAUACAAAGAAGUUAUUCUUAAAAUACAAGCCCUUGUGCGGUUGUGCCUAAGAAGACUAAGAAGGUCGUUCUUUCAUUAAGGGUAUUUUUGUAAUAUCUUAUCUUAGACUAUAAAGAGUUGAGACCAGCUCAUUUAGACUUGGAUCAUUUUGGAUAUUGGUUUUGAUGAGUGACUAGAUGGGUAGGCUCCAAGGCUCGGGAGGUCGACGGGUUUAAGUUGUGGUACUCAGGAGGCUCAAGGGAUAGAAAUGGAGUGGGUAUUUUAGUAGAUGGGAAUUUGAGGGAGCAAGUGGUGGAGGUUAGGAGGAUCAAUGAUAGGUUGAUGACGAUUAAGCUAGUCAUUGGAGGAUGUACUUUGAGUGUUAUUAGUGCUUAUGCACCUCAAGUGGGCUUGGACGAGGAGGCCAAAAAGCUCUUUUAUGAGGAUUUGGAUGAGGUAGUUAGAGGUAUACCGAACACUGAGAAAAUUGUCAUUGGUGGAGAUUUUAAUGGCCAUAUUGGGGCAACUUCUAGUGGCUUUGAUGAUGUUCAUGGAGGCUUUGGUUUUGGGGAGAGAAAUGGAGGUGGAACUUCGCUUCUAGAUUUUGCUAAAGCUUUUGAGUUGGUGAUUGCUAACUCAUGCUUUCCGAAGAAAGAGAACCACUUGGUCACCUUUCGUAGCUCGGUAGCUAAGACUCAGAUAGAUUACUUACUCCUUAGGAAGGGUGAUAGAGGUCUCUUUAAGGACUGCAAGGUCAUCCCGAGUGAAAAUCUUACUACCCAGCACAAGCUUUUAGUGAUGGACCUGGAAAUUAAGAGGGUUAGGAGGAAGAAGAUUGUAUCUGAUCGACCGAGGAUUAAAUGGGGUGGCUUGACACCUGCCCUUUCUCGGGAGAUAGGUGAGAAGUUGAUUGGGAUGGGGGCUUGGAGUGGUAGCGGGGAUGCGGACACCAUGUGGAAGAAAGCAGCUAGUUGCAUUAGGGAAGUUGCUUCUGAGAUGUUGGGGGUAUCAAGGGGUAAAUUUGGGGGCCAUAAAGGAGAUUGGUGGUGGAAUGGGGAAGUCCAAGGCAAAGUGGAAGCGAAGAAGGCUGCAUACACAAAGUUGGUGGAGUGCGUAGAUGAGGAAGAGAAGCGGAUGCUUAAGAAAGUUUAUAAGACGACAAAGACAGAAGCUAAGUUAGCAGUUUCGAAGGCUAAGACGGCAGCUUUCGAACGCUUGUAUGUUGAGCUGGGGGACAAAGGUGGAGAUAAGAAAUUGUAUAGGCUCGCAAAAGCAAGAGAGAGGAAGGCUCGCGACUUGGAUCAAGUGAAGUGUAUCAAAGAUGAGGAAGGCAAGGUAUUGGUGGAAGAGACCUCCAUCAAGCAAAGAUGGCGAAGAUACUUUCACAAACUUUUAAAUGAAGACGGGGAAGGAGACAUUGUGUUGGGUGAUUUGGCGCACUCUGAAAGACUUCGAGAUUUUGGGUACUGUAGGUGCUUUAGGAUCGAGGAGGUUAUACGGGCUAUUAGUAGGAUGAGCAGGGGAAAAGCGACCGGUCCCGAUGAGAUCCCGGUGGAGUUUUGGAAGAGCACGGACAAGGCAAGCAUAGAGUGGUUAACCGGGUUGUUUAAUGUUAUUCUUAAGACAGCAAAGAUGCCUGAUGAAUGGAGAUGGAGUACAAUGGUUCCGUUGUAUAAAAACAAGGGUGAUAUCCAAAACUGUAACAACUAUAGGGGUAUCAAAUUGCUAAGCCAUACUAUGAAGAUUUGGGAGAGAGUGGUGGAGAUGAGGGUGAGAAGAGGGGUGUCCAUCUCUGAGAAUCAGUUUGGAUUCAUGCCGGGACGAUCGACUACCGAAGCCAUCCAUCUGAUGCGAAGACUGGUAGAAAAAUAUAGAGAAAGGAAGAGAGACCUUCAUAUGGUGUUUAUUGACCUUGAAAAGGCAUAUGACAAGGUGCCAAGGAAUGUCCUCUGGAGGUGCUUGGAGGCUAAAGGUGUCCCGAUGAUUUAUAUUAGGGCGAUAAAGGACAUGUACGGUGGAGCCAAGACUCGGGUUAGAACGGUUGGAGGAGACUCGGAACAUUUCCCAGUUGAGAUGGGGUUGCACCAGGGAUCAGUCCUUAGCCCUUUUCUAUUUGCUUUGGUGAUGGAUGAGUUGACGCGGUCCAUUCAGGAGAAUGUCCCAUGGUGUAUGUUAUUUGCGGAUGACAUAGUACUGAUUGAUGAGACGCGGGACAGAGUUAAUGCGAGGUUGGAGGUGUGGAGACAAACGCUGGAGUCCAAAGGGUUCAGGUUGAGUAGGACCAAAACAGAAUAUUUGGGGUGCAAAUUCAGUGAUGCAUUGGAUGAGGCAGAUGUGGAUGUGAGACUUGCCACACAGAUCAUUCCUAAGAAAGAAAGUUUUAAGUAUCUUGGGUCUGUAAUCCAAGAAAGUGGUGACAUCGACGAUGAUGUCACACAUCGCAUUGGGGCUGCUUGGAUGAAAUGGAGGCUUGCCUCUGGAGUCUUGUGUGAUAAGAAAAUCCCGCCUAAACUUAAAGGUAAGUUCUACAGAGUGGUAGUUAGACCGGCCUUGUUGUAUGGAGCGGAGUGUUGGCCAGUCAAGAACUCACAUGUUCAGAAAAUGCAUGUUGCGGAGAUGAGGAUGUUGAGAUGGAUGUGUGGGCACACUAGGAGCGAUAAGAUUAGGAAUGAGGUUAUCCGGGAGAAGGUGGGAGUGGCCUCGGUGGUGGACAAGCUGAGGGAAGCGAGACUGAGAUGGUUUGGACAUGUGAAGAGACGGGGCGCAGACGCCCCAGUGAGGAGGUGCGAGGGGCUGGUAGUAGAGGGUACGCGGAGGGGUAGAGGUAGGCCCAAGAAGUAUUGGGGAGAGGUGAUUAGACAGGACUUGGCCCAGCUACACAUUACCGAGGACAUGACUCUAGAUAGGAAGGAGUGGAGGUCACGUAUUAAGGUUGAAGGCUAGUAGGGUUAGCGUGUUGUCUUUCCUGGCGAGGGUAUGGGUUGUUAGCGUUUGUAGUAGUCUUAGCCUUACACUUGUAGUUCUUGUCUGUGAUUCCUAUAGCCUUAUGUUGUUUACUGCGUUUCACUUCUCACAUUAUUUUCUUGAUGUAUUUUUCUUGAUGUAUUGCCCCCUUUGUUGAUUAUGCACUAUUUUUCUUAUUGGAUGUUAUGCUUUAUAUAAUUCUCUUCCUUUACUUGGCUUUGUUACACUUGAGCUGAGGGUCUUCCGGAAACAGCCUCUCUACCUCCACGAGGUAGUGGUAAGGUCUGCGUACACUUUACCCUCCCCAGACCCCACCUAGUGGGAUUUCACUGGGUAUGUUGAUGUUGAUGUUGAUGUUUUGAUGAGUGAAACUCUUAUGAGAGUGGUCUAUGACCUUUGUUGCUAAAUAAUGUUGAUGAGGUUGCUUGGCUGAGGAAUCUUUCCUCUUGAGGGUCAUCUUAAAGAUAGAUUUUCUGUUUGAGGAAUCGUUCCUUCGAUGUAUCUUUAUAGAUUUGGUGCUUGUUUUGUUUAUUCAUGGAAGGUUUUAGCUUUCUAUAGCUUUAACUUUUAAUUAAUUCCUCACUUCUAUCUUUCUUCUAUCUUCAUUUCUUGUUCUUAGAUUUAGGGUUUCUUCCACAUAUUGAUAUUGCAUCACGUGUGGAGCUCCCGUAAGACUUGUUUUCCUUUUCUCCCUUUGCCUUUGGAUUAAUUUGUUGUCUUCUCCCGUGUGGUUUUGACAAAUUAUUCAAUCUACAAUUUUUUGGUAGAAAAGAUAAUUGUAUUAAUAUACUAAUAAAAUUAUUAGUAAUUCAUUGCUCAAUGUCUCUGGGAUAUAUAUAACUUCAUUUACAACCAUUGACAAAAAAAUGUAGUCAUAAAAGGUUUAAAGUUUUCUGGCUUUAGGAGAUUAAAGUGGGUGAAGACUAUUUUACCCUAUCCAUUUUCAAUCCGCUCACAUCCGAUCCUAUCUGCCUGUUUUCCACCACUAUCCCCACCCAAACCACCACCCUGACUACCACCCUAAUUACAAAUGCACAACUAAUUGAGGAACCAAGGGGCAAUAAAGUUACAUCAAUCCUACGACAAACCUGUCAAGUAUCACUAACAACCUUCUCAUUAUAACCCCUUCCAACAUUCAUUAUAAUUUCAUCUGCAACUUUUUUCCAACAAUAUCCUAUUUCCAAUCCCUGGCCCAUAGAAAUCCAUCAAGUAAAAUUCACUUCCUACAGAUGUGCACAGCUUUACAAUCAGCAGCUUUUAGCUGAUUAACUAGAGAUUCUCCAGUUGUGUCUUAAAAGAUAUUUAUGCAUUUCUCAAAGAAUCUAACAAGUAUUCGUUAAAGCUUCUAAACAGCAGGAUAUGACAAAUUCCCUGAGUGUACUGGUGAACCUAGGAGAAACUUUUACAAUUGUUGUAGCAACAGUACAAGAAAUUAGACAAGCUAUUUACCUGGGGAAGCAGAAAAAUCUUCUUUCCACACUGAGCAAUGAGAAUGUUGAAAGGGAUGUUUUUAUUCUGAAGGGAGAUGCAGGAGUUGACAACAGCAUCAGACAAAUCACGGGCAGUACUUCCAUUUCCACCCUCAAAAGCAAAACCUCGUACAGGGUAAUUUAAUAACUUAGAAACAAUCACUCCAGCACCACCCAGCCCCUUCCUUGCCAGUAUUUUCUGUAUUGGUGCUUUCUCAACUGGAAAUGGCACUGACAAGUAAUAUGCCUGUCAUGAAUGUCAACAAGAGAACAUCAUAUAGAUAGUUAAGUCAUGUUAAUCAAAUAAUUAGAAAUUAUUUUCCUGACCCAUUACCUGGAAGUGGAGGUGGUUAAUGGUAGCAAAAGCGCCCAAACUGUUAUAACCUACCCUAAAGAAAGGAUCUGCCACUUCUCUGGCAAAAUGAAGAGCAAUUGCGAAACUAUCACGAUCAAUUCUCUGAGGUAAGCAAUCAAGAACUCGAGGUAUCAAAAGCACGUGUCCAUACUCAAUUGGACUCACCUAAAAAACAAGAUCCAUAAGCCAUAAUGCAUCUGAUAAUAACUAUAAGAAGAGCACCAGAGCACAAUUUCCUUACGUUGAUAGCAACAAUACUAGGUGAAAUACCACCGUUUACUCGCAUGCCCGAAAAGUAAUGGGGCUUGUAGUCGGUACUUGGUUCAAACCUGAAAAGCACUUCUUCCUGGCCCACUUUGGUAAAGUUGAAUUUGUUCUCGUCAAAAGGCUGAAGAACCUUAUCAAUGCAAAACUCUGUUGGGCGCUUCUUUAGGUGGCGCCCCUCAUUCAGCUGCGCAAUAAAACCACAUCUCCCAGGAAUGACCUUCGUCUCACAGGUUGUCACAUCAUAUCGAAAUAGUCCCUGGCUCAUCCGCUCCUCCCAUAGGCCCAACAACAAAUUGUUCAAGAAUGACAUCUGACACUCCUCCUCAGGCAAGGUUUGAAUAUCAUUUUCAAUUGGCUCAUUGUCAUCAUUCUUGAAUGCAUAUAGAGGAAGCACUGAAACUGAAAGCAAGAACCAAGAUGUAUCCACUAAGAACCAAAAGCCAGAUAGAUCUAUUAGAUAAACAAAAUCAUUAAACGCACGCGACACACUUUUGGCUUCAUCGGAAAAUACAUGCAGUUUGCUUAUUUCUGCAUUAAGGUGCAUGCAAAGUGGAUAUUUUGCCGCAUACUUUCAACAAAUCUAAGAUACACCACUAGAUUAUAUCAACUCUAAGCAACACUAACACUACAAAUAGUAAACUACAAGUUUACCAUUUUCAGAGAAUGUACAUUCAUCUAUAGUUAUAUAGACAUUCAUGCUAUCAUAGGCGUAUCUAGCAUUGCACAUACGGGUUCAAUUGAAGCCAUAACUUUCGAUGUGGAACAUAAUUUACUGUAAAAAAUUACUAAACUUGUACUAAAAUAGCAGAUAUGAACCCAUAAACAUUAAAAUACAACGGGAUUAACUCUAAAAAUCUUAAAACGGAACCCAUGAUCCGCCUCUUAAAGAAUUUACCACACAUUAGAACUGGCAAAAGCUGAAUCUACAUAAUAGUUACAACUGUAAUUCUUUCCUUGUAUUGUUUGCUCAACUCUAAAAUAAUCUGUGAACAAUUGUUACUCCUAAUAACACCCCCAUAAUCAAUCACCAGGACUACAAAAUCAGACAUAUAGAAACAGGCCUCCACAGAGAGAAAAAACAUUCAGAAAAUUCGUUUUGAUUCACAGCAAAACAUACAUUCCGAAAGAUAAAGAUUUAAGGAAUCGAACACAAACCAGGCAUGCAGCAUUUUCCAAGGCACUUGCGGCCACAACCCAUGACGUUGCCUUCGAGAACAUCCUCUUGAUAGUUGGAAACCAGUGUCGGCACCCUCUUUAUAGUCAACAUCGGUCCUGUUCUUGGAUGGAUAAUCAAAAAUACAAUUCUUACACGAAAAAUUAGGAGAAGGAGAAAGAGAAAGGAAGAAUUGGACCGCCGCCGGCGAGGAAGAGGAGAUCGGAGGGGCAACCGCCUUCAGCGGGUGAGGCACCCCUACCUCCGUGAGGGGAAGGGGUCCGGUGCUUAUCGUCCACCAGAAGAGUUGGAUUAAGGGUCAACACUUUGCGGUGAUGAUGAAUUGUGAGAAUACAAACGAAAGAUCCAAGAAGAGCCGUGAUUGAAUUUGUAGGAUCAACGAACAACUACUAAGGAACGAUCCUUCAUCGAUAAUUUUGAGGAAGAUGUUUUUUUCUGGAAGAAUUUAAUGGGUGGUUGUUGGGUGGCGUUUGGUGCUCCGGUGGUUUUUCUCCUGCAGACGUAUUUGGUCAAUGAGUUCGUCUCAUUGGUAGACUCCCCAACUUUAUAUAAGCACCCCCUUACACCUUGUUUGGAUUACUUUUUUUUUUUGGUUGGGUAAAGGAAUAUUAUACUAUUAUAUUAUAUACUCUAGUUAUUAUAUUAUUAUUAUAUAUAGCAAAAUAAAACUACAAAAAGGGAGCAAGUGUAGAUACAUUUACUACCUUAGAAAUUAGCUCACGUUUUACCUGACAUGCGGAGGUGAAUCAGAAUUUUAAGAUUAUAUCAAUAAUAAAAUAUAAGUGCAUAAAUUUAACAUUAACAAUUUUAUCUAUUUUAUAGCAUAUGUCUUUUUUCUUGAUGUUUGCGUGUUAACUAUUUGAACUCUAUUAGAUGUUUCAUGAUCUUAUUAUGGUUUUCGUAUAGAAAAUUAAAAUUUGAGUGAUCUUUGAAUUAAUAGCGUUGGAUUGAUAUUAAUGUAUCUAGACUAGCAGUAAGUGCUCUCGGUGGUUAUAUAAUUGGGUAAGUGAAUGAAUAAUUAAUUUAUUUGAUAUAUGCAUGGUGUUAGCGAGCAUCAAUUAUAUCUAAAAAUAUUUUGAAACAUGAGGUAAAAAUAGUUACCUUGUCAUCAUUAAGUAUAGGUAAAAUGUGGUAUCCUAAUGUUAAAGAUGGCCAACAACCAUUUUUACAUCGGUGCUAAAUUGCAUAGGUUGAAGAUUGUGUGUUAACGUCAAAAAUAAGCCAUGUAAUAAAGCAUUAACUUCAGUUAUAACACCUUAUUUGGAGGGUUAUUUGCGUAUUUCAUUUUAUCAUAUUGUACUUUAAAUGGAGUAAUAUUUAUUUAAUGAUUAGUAAAACUUAUUAUAUCAAAUUAUAUGAAAUGAAAAAGUAUUGUAUUUGUUAUAAGGGCAAAUUACAGAAAUCACAUACUUUUAAGGCAAAAUUACAAUUUAUCCCUUAAAAGUUUAUAAUUAUAGAAAUCCCUCAAACGGAUAUAAUAAUAUAAGUGCUGAUACAUUAAUCUGAUGCGCGAGAUACACUAAUUUGAUGCGCGAAAAUGAGGGAUUUUGGAGAUUUGUAAAACUUAUAGGGGAUAAUGGUAAUAAGUAAACUAAAAGGUGGGAUUUCUGUAAUUUUUCCUUGUUAUAUAAUGAUGGAUUUGGCGUGAAUGUGGUUCUAUCUUAAUCUUUUUAUUAUUUUAUUUAAUAUUUAACAAUCUCAUUUUUUAUCUUUUCAUCUUACUUUUUAAAAAGAGAAAAGACAUAAAGUAAUACUUGAAGUUAUUCUAAAUUUUCAAAAAGAUACCUUAACUUUGCGAGUGUCCUAUUACCCCACAAAAUAUUUUAAAAUCACAAUAAAUACACACUUUUUUACACAAUCUGCAUUCUCAAUGCAUGAGCGUGAGUCUCACCCCAAUUAAUAAUAUAAUUACAUAAUUUUUUCAACCCAUUUAGUGAAAAUUGGAUUAAAAUCUUGAUCCAUUCACAUUUUAAUCAUGACCCACUCUAUUUAACCCUAAACCCCUUUCAAAUUUUCACUCUACUAUCUCUCUUUGAUUAUCAAAACCCUAAGCAUUUCAAUAGUCACGAUAAAUUUAUUUUGCGGUGAUAAUUUCUUGAAUUAUGGAGUCAAAACGAAGAAAUGAAGGCUCAUAUGUUAAUUGCUUCUUGAUUUGAAAGCAAAUAUUGGUUAAAAAUGUUGUUUUUAUAUAGUAGUGCUUUUUAGAAAAAUCAUCUUAAUAGUGAUUUGUUGUUAUUUUCUUCUUGUGUUAUCUAUUAUUCAUGUGUAUGUAGUGUUAGUUUAGGACUGAUUUGAGUUUGAAUGGUUUUUCACUGAUUUAGUUUUGAAAUUUAUUUGCAAUUGCACUUUCAUGAUUUACAAAUUCAUUGAUCUCAUAACUUUUAAAUAAAAUAAAAAGAAAAGAAAAGAAAUUGAAGUUAGUAAAGCUAGAUGAAAAUUUCAUUCUCAAUGGAGAUUUUUUUUUUUAUGGUUGUAGAUGGAAAGCUCUUCAACAUAUAUCAAUGGAGGUUUUGGAGAAGAUGGGAAGUUGGUAUUUUAAUAAAGAAAGAAAAUUCAAAUUGUCAAUGCCAUGUGGCAUUUUUACACUGAUUUGGGAGUGUAUUUUUACUUUUCCACGCGCCUAUCAGAUGUGAGAAUACAUAUGUUGUGAAAAUGGGUCAAAAGUGUUUAAUUAUUGCGAUUUGAAAUAGUUAUAUGGGGUAAUAGAAUGCCCGCAACGUUUAGGUGUCUUUUUGAAAAUUUAAGACAACUUAAGGUGUUUAAGUGUUUAAUUCAGAUGUAAUAAUUCUUCAUACCCUAUUUUCUUUCUAAUAUUAAUCAGAUUGAUAUUGCGUGACAUUCAUAAAACAACAAAAAGGUAUCAUUUAUUCAAAUAUAUAAAUAAGUUGUUAUUUGUGAUACACCAUGUGCUUUACACCCUCUAUCACUGUAUCACACACACAUAUAUAUAUCAAACUGAAUAAUAUUUUCGAGUGUUAAUCGGAAAAGGGCCUAAAAUACCCUUGAACUAUUAGAAAUGGUACAAAAUUACCCUCCAUCCACCUAUUAGUCCUAAAAUACCCUUGUUGUCUACCUUUAGGUCCUAUAUUGCCCUUUUAUUUUUAACGGUCCCAAGUUAAACCCAAUUAAUAAAUUCAUUAAUGGCGUGGCGAUUUUCUAUUGGCCAGCUUUAAAUAAUCUAAACUAAUUGAAAACCCACUUAUUCUCAAAUUAGACCCAAAUAAAAUCUACCCGCCCCAAGUUCAUUAAACCCAUCUUCCUCACAGGCUUUUUUGAAUUGAAUCCUGACCUUGAGUUUGAACAUCUAAAAAGAUAUUUGAUAAGAGAUGUGCAUAACUUGAUCAUUUUGUAAAGGUUACUGUUAUUAAACAUGGUGAUGAUACAAACAUUGGUUGAUCAUAAAGAUGUUGAAACAAGUUUUGAGUUCUUUCAUUUUCUUUUUAUGCUAGGCUGGAGGAACUCUAAUUUAUGGUAGACUCUAUGUAUGCUGUGAAAUGGGAGUUUCGGUUUUAGCUUUUUCAGAUAACAAUAUUGUUAUAUAGUUUUGUUGUUUACCUCUAACUAUUUAAUCAAGCACAUUGCUCAGAUCUUAGUUACUUGUUUUGGAAGUCUAAGAAAGUGAUAUGUAUUCUGUAUUUUUGGGCAACGAUUGCAUAAAUAAACAGAAAAUCAAAUUCAGUCGAUGACACGAAAUUCUCAUCACCAUUGCCCACUUAUAUUUGAUGAGAAUGAAACUAAAUCUUUUGUAUUACUUUAUUUUGGAUUCAUUAGAUAGAUUCUACUCAAAAAUUUGCUCAAGAAAUAUCAUAAUCUCCUUUAUGUAAAUUAUCUAGGUUUUAUUUCUUUUUCAAAGAAUGUAGGUGGGAUGAAAAUAAGAAAAAGAAAAGGUUGUAGCUUUUAUGCUCUAUGAUUUGCCAUUUUGCUGUGAGGAAGACGAUGAUAAAAGAUAGGGUUAAAUGAAUUUGGGGCGGGUCUAAUUUGGGAAUGGGUGGGUUUUUAAAAUUAAUUUAGGUUAUUUAAAAUCUAGCCAAUAGAAAAUUGACACGUCAUUAAUGAAUUUAUUAAUUGGGUUUAAAUUGGGACCGUUAAAAAUAAAGGGCAAUAUAGGACAUAAAGGUAGACAUCAAGGGUAUUUUAGGACUAAUAGGUGGAUUGAGGGUAAUUUUGUACCAUUUCUAAUAGUUCAAGGGUAUUUUAGGCUCUUUUUCGUUGUUUAAUUUGUAAAAAUAUGGACUAUAUCUGUAACUAACUAUAAUAAAUAUAUAAUUAUUAAAAUAUAAGUAAAACUACAAAUAAAAAGUUCAUAUCUAUUUAAUUUCAUAGAUUUAACAAAGAAAAAAAAAUUUAGUAAUUUCGUUUAACUAUAUUUAGCCAACUUUAUUAGGCGCUUUGAAAUAAAAUUAACUUCUACCUACAUUAUCUUAAUUCUUACAUGUAUCUUCCAAACUUAGCAAAUAAAAAAUGAUCAUAGAUUACAUAAUAAGAUAUACUACUAAUUAUUAGUAAUAACUCUCUAGCAUUUUGAGCAUAUGAGUUUUUUAAAAAUAUUAGAGAAAUUUCUCAAUAUUAUGUUAGCUUGCUUAUUUGUUGUUUCACUUCAAAUUACACCAAAUUUACUUAGUUAUACGAAAAUGAAUUUAAAUAAAUAUAAGAAAUAUGAAUAAUAAUAUUAUAUUACUGUCGUGAUUGGCACCCACACUAACUCUCCGGUGGAAGAAUCACUACUACAACCCAAACCAAGCAACUAAAACAAAACUAAGGUAUUUAAGUUACGGAAGCAAGUUAAAUACUAAGGAAAUAAAUAGGGAGUUCCCAUAAACUCCAAAAAAGUCUAACAACGAACUAACAAUGCGGAAGAACUAACCUGGAACUUGAAAGUCAAUGUACCAAAACAUCUAAAGUUCAACAAGUCUAAGCAAAAAGGGAUGCAACCCCAAUCUAAUGAACUAAUCAACUAACUAGAACAUAGUCUAAGUCCAGAAAUGGUGGACAUAGACGUAAGAGAACCCAUGAUAGCCCGGAAGAAUUGACUCACUUUUGAAUUCGAACGAUCACUCCUAAGUGAGGUCUGUCAAUAGCCGUCGGAAGAUGCCCUGUACUCAACAAAAAUAAGAGCAAAUGCAGUAUCAGUAAACAACCACAGUGUACUGGUAGGAUCACGCGACUAUCCCACUAAGUGCAACAUAAGCAAGUUGAGACAACAAUAUAAUCACAUGCAUAUAUAUAUAUAUCAACAUAUACAAUAUUAUCAACAUUUACGAACAACGAAUAACUUCACAUUUUUUAUCAAAUCAUUAGUCCUCUCAUGAGACCCAAACUCAAACAGUUAGCAUACCGAAAUGUGGUAUCCGAUCCCAUAAUUAUGCCGGAACAUGGCAACCGAUCCCAUAGUUAUGCCGGAACGUGGCAACCGAUCCAAGUUAAUUAUGCCGGAACGUGACAACCGAUCCAAGUUAGUUAUGCCGGAACGUGGCAACCGAUCCAUUCAACACACCACAAUCACAAUCACAAGUAUAUUACCCGGAUCAUGCAUUUAAGUCAUGAUUUCAUGACAAUCAUUAUUCAUCUAUGUCAUUUACAACAAGUGUGAUCAACAUUGCAACAUUCAUACGUAUACAAGUAUCAUAAUGAAAGCAAGAACAAACAUACAUCACACAAUCAUAGAAAUCACAACCAUCACUUACCUCGAAACAAGCUUGAAACCCUAAGAAACUUGAUCCUUCCCUUUCCAGAUUCGUUUCGCUUGUUCUUGGUCUACAAACAAUCAAUAUAAUACGGGAAUCAAUAAACAAUCACUAAUUACCCGAAUUACUAACAAUUCUAUGAACCCUAGAUCAAACUCAUGAUCCCAACUAUCCAAAUUAGGGGGUUUUUCACCAUAGAAUCUAUAACAAAACCUUCUCCCAUCAAUAUUCACCAAUUCUAUUACGUUCUACGGAUUCCUUAACGAGUUAUCUAACUACUCAUGCAAUCAAAAUCAUAAAUGAUUCACCCGAUUGUUACCGGAUUUCCCUACACCUCAAAAACUCCGAUUUCGUCCAAAUUUGGACUAGGUUGAAAAAAUCCAAAUAGUAUGAAAAGAUUUUCCGUCCCCAAAUUUUCUCCCGUUUGCAUUUCUAUAAUGAUGGGAACAUGUCGUUACAAUUACCUAUAGUUUGAUUUUAAACUGUAGGUAAUGCACCUAUACAUUAUGUAUAAUAAUAUGAGUCUUUAGUUAAUUUAGCCUUAUUCAAAUUACAUUUUGGGCCAUGGGCCUGCUAGCUCACUCAAUUUAGGAAGUAUUUUCUCCUUCUAUGCAAAGUGGAGAUAUUGAAUCCUCUAUAGCUUAAUUAUGAAAUUACCAAAACAAAUAUAAAUUACAAAAUUUUAAUGUAUUUUUUCCAUCUUUUAUCCAAGAAAAUUAGUAAAACACUUGAAGUCAAACUGGUGGUGCCUAUAGUUCAUUGGGUCAAUGUAUUUUCGAAACUUAGAUUAUAGGUUAUUGUUUUCUAAAUCAUCAAGGAAUUGUUAUUUCUUUUUCGGGGGUGGAUCUAAGGGCCGGGGUUGGGGGUUGAGGGCGUUCACGACCAAGAGUUAUACCCUAUAUAUAAGUUUUUAUUUGAAUCCCGACACACAAGACUAUAAAAAUCAGUGACUCAGAACAAGUUAUCACAAUGUGAAGGUCAAUGACAACAAAACUGAGUAGUUCAUUCGGUAACUUCAAUAUUCAUAGAAACAGAAAUUUAAACAAAAAACGGACCACAAGCGUUACAGAUUAAAGAAGGGAGAAGAGCUAAUACAACAUGAAGAAAGGAUACUGACUGUACAUGAUGGAUAUAAUAACAAGUAGCUACACACCCUUGGAACCAGGAAUGUCAAUCCACUGCAAUUGUAGCUCUAUUUCGCCACGCUCAACAUUUCGCAAUCUAAUAAACACAUUUUGAACAACCUGAUCAUUUUCCCACACAAUGGGGCUCUCUUCAGACAAACAAUUUUGCCUGCUUGGCUUUAUUUUUGUGAUUAUGGUUCCACUAGGGAUGUUCUUGUAGCGCUUUCUCACCGCAUCUAUAAAUGGAUGUAUGUCAAUUUCUGCAUCACCCAUCUUAUCGUCCAGAGAAAAUAUAUCCUUGUCAUAAACAUGCUGCAAUGGCACAGAAAAAAAUCUCUUAGGAUUGCAUAAAUUACAAAUCCACGUGAUGUUCUGAAAUAAGUCAAUUCCUAUUCCUUAGGUUCCUUUUUAAAAAAGUUGAAAGCAGAACCAGAAUUUGAAGCUUAUGGGUCGAGAUUCUAGUCAUUUUAAGAUAUAAGUUGUGCAUAUUCAGUAAGUUUCCCAAGACAAAUACAUGAUUUGGACCAAAGCUACUUGAACCCCAAACCGUAUUCUAGAUCCAUCCCUAGAAGCAAACUAAAAGUCUACAACUACACCAUUUAUCCGUCUCCCGAUAAUUAGGUUAUGUGCUGUUUAAUUCCUUGAUGAAAUAAAAAUACAGUAAAAUGAAGGAAAUUACCAGAUUGAUUGGGAGAAUUGGUUCAGUAAUAGAUAGUGUUAAUUCUUCAUUCCAUUCUGGAUUGAGAUUCUUCUUCACCACUCGAGUCUUCAAUUUCUGCUCCAAAUAUUAUCACUAAUUAACAUAACAAGAAAGUAUAUUCGUAGUAUCAAAAACUGAAAUAGGCAUAAAGAAGCAAUGUCAACAGGGCAAUGGAAACCAUUUGUCCAUCCAAUUGGUUCAAAUAUUUGAAUCACAUAUCUUUAUUGAGGUUCAUGGCAGUCAACAACUAAGCCCAAAUUAGUUUUAAAUCCCCUACUGCAAUUCAUUACUCAAAAGUCUUCUUUUUAAUUAGUCAUGUAAGAUAUGAACUAGUCAAAGUGACGCAAUCAAGCACAAGCAACAACGAGGGAGAUUGGGAUGACCAUGGAUCAAAUUCAUCAAAAAGAUUUUUAAAAAUGUCAGUGAAUUUAUUCCAUCUGCCCAAGUUUUGGCGAGCAAAAUUAUUCAGGGAUAGGUGAGAAGUACCAGUGGAACAAUAGAGGAGCGUGCAAGUUGACCGAAUAAUCACACUUGCAAAAAGGAAAAAAACAGAGAUUAAGACAGAAACAGGGUAUAGGGUAAGGUCUACAGCAGCGGAUGCCAGAUUUUCACUAAGGGGAUCUGAAAAAUAAAAAAUAUAGUGAUUGUGAAUUGAACUUGGAACCUUAAGGUCAGGUCAAUUCUGAAUCUCUAAGCCAAAGUCUAGUCUUGUGUUCAGUGGAUUCAGGUGAACAUCCUUGCCCCUUCCUAGAUCCACUCUUGGGUCUGGUACACUACCUACUCAAACCCAAUUCUAAGAUUACAUUGGAUGGUUGUUGUAACAGAAAUUUGUGGGGAUUCUCUAGUAGGAAACUAUCAAAUAUAUAAAAACUCGAAAAUUUUCUACAAGGAUACUACUACUAAGCAGAUACAAAAUUUGUAUAAAACCCAUUAUUCUGAGUCACAGACAAACAAUUUUCUGGAAAUCAAGAAUGCAAAAAAAAAAAAACAACAAGAAAAGUAACAGCUGUUCAGCAGAAAAAAAUAAUGAAAUUGGCGUUACCUGUUUGCCCAUCCUAACAACAACGUAAGGAUCGCUGGUAGUAACAUCUCUAAUAGCCAAAUUAAUACCUCUGUGGAUACGAACUCUCAUAAGACCCAACAAAUUCUCCAUUCAAAAUUUUGAAUUAAGCUCAGAAAGAAUUAAGAAUUAAGGCAAAGAAAGAGAGAUUAUUACUCACUAGUAUUCAAUUGGCUAACGUCUUAUUUUAUACCCAAUUGAAGGGCUGACUGAGUUAAUGCACGUAAAAGUCACUUUCUCUAUUUAUUUCUUGUGUCCCCGAAAAAUAUUUCGAUAUGUCUAUAUGUUUUUAGUUUGAAAUUGUUUUUAUUUAAAAUUAGAUAAAUAUUACUCCCUCUGUCCCUAAUUACUUGUCCAUUUUUGAAUUGGCACACCUAUUAAGAAAAUAAUAAUUGAUAUAGUGAGUUUAUCAUUUUACUCAUAUUAAUCAUGAAGUGGAUGAAUUAAAAACUUAAGAUUUUCAAAAAAUUCUACAUUUUCAAAGUAAUAAAUUGAGGGUAUAAUAGAGAAUUUUUUUUUGUCCUUUCUUGAUUUGUCAAAAUGGACAAGUAAUUAGGGACAACUAAAAAAGGAAAAAUAUACAAGUAAUUAGGUACAGAGGGAGUAUAUAUAUUAAGAUUAAAAUUAAAAUUAGACAGAUAAAUUAAAAUUAAAUCUGAGUACUAAUAUUUAGAUCUGAUUUGAUGAGUUAAAAAUGGAGUACUAGUUUGACUGGCUUAUAUCAAUUACGUAGUGAUAAUUUUUAAUUAUAUUGCUUAAUUGAGUUUUGACAGAGAAAUCAACGGUUAAUGUUGUUUUUUAGCGGAAUUAUCGAGAGUUAUUGGAUUUGGUAGAACAAAUACGACUGCAGUAAUCGUCCGGCUAAUUAAUAAUUAUGAGUCAUUUUUGGUUUAUAAAAGUUUGGUAACACUACGUGCCAACUUGUCUUGUUUUAUAAAGCAAAUCGUCUACUUUUUGGAUUUGGAUACAUAUAGAUACGUGACCCAACAUCAUGUUUAGACUUCAAAAAGUGAAAAUAUUUGGGUAGGCUAAUAACGAUUACUUCCUUUUAUGUUAAUAUGACUGCAUUUUAUUAUAAAACAAACAAGAAAUGAUGAUUUAUAUUGGAAAAAUAGAAGCAAUAUUGAAUAAAAGACACUAGCUCGUUCCUCAUCAUUGAAAGACUCAUAUUGGUAUGUGGAAUAAAUAAAUAAGGAUAUCUCGUGAAUUUAAAUAUUUUAGGAAAUUAACUCGUAAUAUCUCACAUAUCAAAUAUGAAAUAAAAUUAAUUUCAAAUUUUAUUUUAAAAUUAUUAUUCUUUAUCUCAUUUACCUAAUGAAAAAGCUCUCACAUUUGGUGGUCUUUUCUCUCUUCCCUCAAUACACUAGACAUUAGACAAAGUCGAAGACUAUACAUGGUAGAGUGAACUAGUGCAAGAAAAUUUAGAUACAUUUUAUUUUUUACUUUUUUGCAAAAUCGAAGCUAAUAUUUAGGUAAUAAUAGUAAAAUUUAAAGCUUUGAUCAUGAGAAGUAGCUAAUUAUAUCUAUUCAACAACAUGCAUAUAUUAAUUAUUGGAAUUUGAGUUGUGGGAAUAUAGACUAACGCCCACCCUUUGAUAAUUUAUAGUCAAGUCAUUCAACAGACAUAGUGGGAGAGUUGGAAGAAGUAAAUUAAAUUAAAAUCGAUGAUAUUUUUUUUUUUCACACAGCAAAGUCAAUGAUCAUAAUUCAUAAUAUUGUUCUUGAAUAGUUCCUCGAUUGGUAUGUUUUGCUAGUUGACUAAUUAAUUCAUAUGUCAUAUGAUUAUUUUUUUUGACGAAUACCUGAAGUUAAUUGAUUGAAAAUUUAGAAUGACUUCAAGAUUUGGAGCUCGCCUGAUUUAGCUAUAAAUGAAGUUGAAUUUAUAAAUACUUAGUUAAAUUGAUGAUAAGUUGUUUAUGUGUUCGGUAAAUAUAUGCUGAUGGGUAUGAUUGUUUUGGUUAAAAUGAUGAAAAUGUUCUUGAAGUUAUAUACUAUUAUUAAAAAAUAUAAAUAAAAGUAUUUUUUUAAAUAUAAAAUAGGACAAAUGAUGAAAAUAGAAUAAAGAGAUGAUUAACGAUUAUAUAUUAAGAGGAAUAUUUUGAAAACUAGAGAUAAAAUAGUAAAAGAUUUGACUAAAUCAAAACUGUUUAUGAGCGGUAAAAGCGGGAAUUAGAGCCGGUUUGGAUUAACUUAAAAGUUGGUCAAACUUGUUUUUAAGUCAUUUUUAAUUUUUGAGAGUGUUUGACAAAUUUAAAACUUAAAAUAAGUUAAAAGUAUGAAUCUUCCUAUUUUUUUAUUUUUUGAAAAAAAAUUUCAUUUAAGUUUAUUUUUAAAAGUUACUUUUUAAAAACUAUUUUUUUAAGCCAGUUUAAACUGGCUUUUAGAAGUGAUUAACUAGUGACUUUUGAUCGAUUUUGACUUAUAAGUAUUUUUAACAUUAUCGAACGGGUGAAUAAUAAAAUUAAUAAUUACAAGUGCAGCCAAACACCAUCUAUACUAAACUACCAGAGGAAGGAAGAAAAUAAUUUAUUUUCCCUUAAUUGAUCAAACAAACUUAGAAAAAUAAAAAGGAUGUCGAGAGAUAAAUUGAGUGAUUUUUAAUGCUAUAGUUAUCUUCUUUUUUCGCUUAAUUAGAAUUUCUUCUUGUCAAAGUUUGCAAAUCAUGUGCUUAUAAAUACUCCGUCUGUUCACAUUUACUUGUCAUUUUUGAUAUAUCAAAAAAAGACAAUAAUUUUUUUCCAUAUUUUACUUUCAACAUUAAAUACUUAUUUUUCAAAUAAGUAAGGAUAAUUUAAUAAAAUAUCUAUAUUAAUAAUUAUUUUCUUAUAGUGUAUCAAGUCAGACUUUUACAAGUAAAAAUGGACCACGGGAGUAAUAAACAUUUCAUAAUUUGGAGCGGAAAAAGAUGUAAUUUAUGUCAUUAAUGGGACCAGAAAACAAAUUAGAAGUCUUCAAUGUUACUUAUUGUGGGAAUAAUAAGUCAAAUAUUAUUGAGUGCUCAUAAAAUAUUUUAAUGAAUAAAAGACCAACAUGCAGGAGAAUUAAUCAAGGAAAGAACGAAUUUUAGUUUGGAAUUCUAUUUUUACCUUUAAUUUCCUUGUUUAUUUUCUUAAUAUAAAAUGUCCAUGUGAAAUAUUCAUCUUCAUAGGAUCUUUUGAUAGUAGUCAUGACCAACAACCAUCAGCUCUGAAUUUGUUGGUAAGGUGAGAGCUUCAAGCCCGAUUUCAGGUGGUGCACUUUAAAAGUCAAAAUUCAAUACUAGUAUAUUAUAUUACCUAAAGCACACCAAGAUAAUUAAUUAAUUAAGGCAAAUGUGAACUCAAAGAUAGAAUAUAGGGUAUGAAAUAUGAAUGUAUUACUAUUAUUUAACUAAAGAGGACGAAUAUACUAGAACUAACGACUUUUACGUCAUUCCCCGGUUAAGCAUUUCGUAUUUUAUUAAAAAAAUAAGUAUGACCUAAUUUUUUUCCUUCUUAUUAUUAUUAGGUACACAAAAAUGAAAAUGUGGUUUUGAACAAUUAUUUUUUCGACCAUACUAAAGUUUAAAGGGAUUAUGGACCAUAUGAUAGCAACUAGACACGUGAAAGUAAAUGUUUUGGGCUCCAUUGUCAUUUAAUCUCUUCGACUUAUAUUAGUUGCUUACGUUAUCAAAUAUAUAUAGUUAUCCAAAUUUACUAGUCAAAUUAUAAAAUCAAGAUAAAAUUAAUUACAUUCUUAUUUAUAUAAUCUUUUUUAAGUGUAAAUAAGUUUGUAAAGUUUUUCAAAAAGUUUCUUAAGUCGUAAAUUAAUAAAACUGUCUUUAUUUAUGAUUUCUUGAGGAAUAUAUGAGAAAAUGAACAACUAAUAUAAAACGGAGAAAAAAAGUCUAAGAGUAAAGUCGUUUUCGCAUAGGGGAACACUCCCCCAGCAAAAGAUUGGCAAAAUAAAAGCAAAAUCUAUGCGUUCAAAUGUCAUGAGUUUAGAGUUUAGACUAGCAACUUUUGCUGACUAAUAUUCUGUUAAUUUAAUAGCAACUAAACACUACAUUAGUAGUAUACGUAAUUGUCUAAGUAAUAAUUUAUAUACUUAAUCAACACGCAACAAAGGGCAGAUUCACAAUGCAACAUACAUGUUAACCUGAACGCAAUAACUUUUGCACAAAUUCUAUAUUUAACUUGAUAUACUGUGGAUCAUUUUCUUAGUCCGCUCCUUUUUUUUUUUUGGUUACAAAACAUAGAGGAAUUUGUUUGUUCAUUAACAUUUUCUAGCGAUGGUUUAAUUGUGGGAAACUUACAUAAAUAUGCUAUAUUAAGAAAAUAUAUCAUUUAUAGCAAUAACAUUUUUUUUUCACUUGAUCAUUUUUAAUACAUUUAUAAUACAGUUUUAAUAUAUAUUACAAAGAAUAAUUUAUAAAACAGAUAGAAUUCAAGUUUUAUUGAUUGAUAUUAUAUUUAUCACACAUUUUAAUACAUUAAUAAUACAAUGUUUUAAUUUCUUACCAAACAAACAUAAUAUAUUUUAUUUUAAUACAUAAAUAUUGCAUGCAUAAUUCACUUUUAAUACAUAUUGCAGAUUUAUCAUAGUAUUGCUAUAUAUAUUUCUAUAAAUGACAAUAAAUAAAAAGUAUCACUAAAAUCAAUAAUUAUUUAUUAAAAGAUAUCCAUUCAAUAUUUUUUUCAAAAAUGGUUGUAUUUAAAAACAAAUUAGGAUUAAUUACUUCGGUGGAUCCCUUUUAAAAAAUAAUUACUUAUUUUAAGUAUACUCUUUAAUUAUUACCAUUUAUAGCAAUAUAUAGCAAUAUUAUGUAUUUAUUUGAUUUAUGUUUCUCUCUCACCUCUUUCUCCUUUUUUAUUCUCUCUGUGCAAGGUAUCAAUAUUUUAAAGCUACAAUUGAAAGAUCCACAAUCUUUAACCACAAAUUCAAUUCGUUAUGUCUCUAAAGGGAGAAGAAAAUCUUGAGCUCAUUCUUUCUCUAUCUGUCCCUGGAAAUUAUGUUGUCAACCACUAUAAUGGUAUUUAAGUUGUUGAUCCUUCAAUAUUCAAUGUGGUACAAGAAAUGAUAUGGAUUAACAUAAACGUUAACGAAUAUGUAGAUCUUAUAAAAAAAUAAACCCUAAAGUUACUAUGUAUGUUGUUUUUAAAGAUUGUACUAAAUUGGAAUGAUGUCUGCAAUAUGCAUUAAAAAUGUNNNNNNNNNNNNNNNNNNNNNNNNNNNNNNNNNNNNNNNNNNNNNNNNNNNNNNNNNNNNNNNNNNNNNNNNNNNNNNNNNNNNNNNNNNNNNNNNNNNNNNNNNNNNNNNNNNNNNNNNNNNNNNNNNNNNNNNNNNNNNNNNNNNNNNNNNNNNNNNNNNNNNNNNNNNNNNNNNNNNNNNNNNNNNNNNNNNNNNNNNNNNNNNNNNNNNNNNNNNNNNNNNNNNNNNNNNNNNNNNNNNNNNNNNNNNNNNNNNNNNNNNNNNNNNNNNNNNNNNNNNNNNNNNNNNNNNNNNNNNNNNNNNNNNNNNNNNNNNNNNNNNNNNNNNNNNNNNNNNNNNNNNNNNNNNNNNNNNNNNNNNNNNNNNNNNNNNNNNNNNNNNNNNNNNNNNNNNNNNNNNNNNNNNNNNNNNNNNNNNNNNNNNNNNNNNNNNNNNNNNNNNNNNNNNNNNNNNNNNNNNNNNNNNNNNNNNNNNNNNNNNNNNNNNNNNNNNNNNNNNNNNNNNNNNNNNNNNNNNNNNNNNNNNNNNNNNNNAAUAAAACUUGUAUCAAUAAUGAAUUAAAUUAGUAAUCUAAUAGUAACAAAUAAUAAACUACAGAAUGAUUUAAAUUUGCAUUAAAAGUGUAUUACGCAGUAUUAAAGUUGAAUUAGAAGAGAAAAUUAAGAAUAAAUGAAAAAUGUAACUAACAAAAGACAAGAUAAACUGAAUUAAACUUGUACUAUUCUUGAAUAAAACAUGUAUUAUAUGUGUCUUAUAAAUUAUUUUGAUUUGUAUCACUAAGAACAUGAGUGAUAUUUGCAAUAUGUAUUAAAAUGUAAUGUGCAUGUAUUAUAAUGUAGUAUAAGUGUGUUACCAAUUAUAAACUUAACCAAACCCUCUUAAAAUUGAGAUAUAAACCACAAACGUCUAUUUUCAAUUAUUUGUAGGAACAACCUUAUCCAAACUAAUCAUAAAUUCAUAAAAUUCAAAUAAUGAAUCCAAAAUUUGAAGGUUUAUAAUGACUAUUAAUGGUGAACUCUUGCCGCCGUAAUUUUAGAGAUUUAAAAUUUCUGCUUGAGAACAUAUUUCUAUACAAAUUUUUAGUCUUUCUGUUCCUCUUCUCGUCAUGUUCUUGUGUAAAGAUAGUGAAAUAUGAGCAAAUAUUAAUUUGAGGAUAGUUAAUUAAAUGAAAAUUCUAAAGAAGAAAAAAAAGAAUAAAAAGAAUAAAAAGAAGAAAAAAAAUGACGGAGAAAGAGACAGAGAAGAAGAAGAAUAAAAAAAGAAGAGGAGGAAGCGAAGUGAAGAUAAAUCGUACAACAUUUUCAAUUCCAAAAAAUUGUUAUAUUAAGUUACAAAAGUUAUAUUGUCAUAGAUGAUAAAUAUUUUUUUAAUAUAGCAUAUUUAUGUGAUUUACCCAACAAAUUAUGCAGUGUUUGAAGAAAACAUAAAUUAGCCCAAUAUCUGCUUUGGGCUGAACUUUGAAAUGCAUACAAGAGUUAUGGGCCGCCUAUAAAUUAGCCCAAUUAGAGUGAUCUAAUUUUCCGAUAGAAAUUGGGGGAAUUUUACGAUAGAAAUGGUGUCCACUGCCCUUUCUUGGCCUUGUUUUUGUAUUUUAAAAUUUUAUGACAUUAUUUUGGAGCUUUAAUAGUUGAGACUUGAAAUUUCACGAACAAUUUUGAGAUGCUGAUACAAUUCGGGGAAAUUGCACUCCAAAUGUUAGUUAUUGAAGUAGUAGAGCCCAAGACUAUAUAACUAUUCCAUCGCAUUUAUUGUCUUUAACGAAUAUGCACUGGGUAAUUAUUACUUGAUCAUCUCACAAGUAGGUAGCUUUUUUCACGCAAUCAUUCUUAAGAUAGGUGUCAAGAAAUUCAAGAUUGUCAAUAUCGGCGUCACUAGCCCUUGAAUGAAAGUUGCAAUAUCGACUUCACUAUUUGUGGUUCGAUGGACAUAAAGGUGAUGGAUGACUUUGAUACAAUCGAUACAAUCUAAUGGAAAUCACGCUCCAAAAUUUAACUAUUAAGAUGGAAGAAAUCAGUGUUAUAUAAAUUUCACGUAAUUAAUACAACUCAAAGAGAAAAUACAUCCUAAAAAUUACUAUUGAGAUUAAACAACUCAAAAUUAUAUAAAACCAUAUCAACACAUUUCUAUAGGUGAAACUUAAGUCGCAUAAGAUACGGACAAGGACUGAGCCAAGUAAUGCCAAGGAGUUCAUUUGAAUGUUAUUUGAUAAAAAAUUAUACUACUAUUUAUAUAUGAUUUUUUUUUUAUGUAUAUAUAUAUAUAUUACAUGUUAAACCUUCUUUAAUAUUUUUUUAUUUAUUUUAUAUAUAAUGUCUGUUAUGUUAAACCCUCCUUUUAUAUCUUUGUCCUUGCCUUUUAUAUUUUGAACCUCUUAAUCAAAAUCUCGAUUUGGCUUAACACUAUAUAUUACCCGAACACGUGUAAUAUAAUACAAGAUUGGUAUAGUGGUCUCUCCCACAUAGAAGUUGCCCUCCCCUGCAAUUGCUCUUUCGAGUUUCAUCAGUUAGGAACGUAAGUGGUUCAAAUUCAGUGUUGUUUGUACCAUUGCUCUUGGAAUUAUAAGUGUACCCUUUUGCUUUUAUUGACAAAUUUUUACUCGGAAUCUUCCAAAUUGUCCUACAGGAAGUCUUUAAUUAUGGUCUGUAACCUGCUUAAUUCACCUGGGCAAACCAGGUGAUUUCUUCAACCCUGGAAAUUUUGAUUUUAGGGUUUUCUUUUUCUUGAUUUGGGGACUCCAUAUUAUACUGCAAUGUGGAAUCUUGAUAUACUUUCUCUCUCAAUCUUGAACUGUAUAAAGAAUAUUAUAACUAUAGGUCCGUUCAACUAGACUGAUUUUACGAUGCCUACUUGAAUCCAUCUUUUUAUGUUUAUGAUAUUUUAUUACCAAUUUGGGUUUCGUUUUAUCCUUUUAAUCUCUUUUUGCUUUAUUCUGAUCAUACAAUCUUGAUCAAGAAAAUGCUGACAUAUUCUGAAUUGGACUUUUUAAUGGCAAUGAUAAGGUUCAAGGUGGAAAAUAUCGAUGGAGUUAGAGGAAAUAUGGCUUCAUACAAUUCAAGAAAAGGUUUCCAUAGGAUGCAUAAGUCAUUUUCAAACCCGAUCCCAUGUACCUCUUGGAAAAUAUUUUGUGCCCCUGAAAAUUUGGAGAAGCGAUUUUCAGUGGUAGUAUCGGAGAAAAUAGCAGACGCAGGUCUGUCUGAUCCUGAGCAACCUUUGAGAAGCGAAGAGGUAAGAUUUUUCAUUACCCUGUUGCAGACCUUUAUUAGAAAACAAAACCUCAUACAAAAGCCAAAUGAUUUUUUUCUUAUUCCUCCUUUUGGGGGAAUGCUUCCUUUCUUGGUUGAGAAUAAUCUUUAUUGUUGCUGCAAGUAUAUUGAGCUAUACUGACUCUCUUCUAUCUUUAUAGUUGAGGUUAUUGCUUGCCGAUGCUGAAAGAUCGAAGCUUCUCAAGAAAUUGAGUGAAGCCAACCGAUAUAAUCGGUUGCUUAAGCGAGAGGUAUAUAUUUUAUUGGUUUCAUAUUCAAUCUCGUAAGUUCUUCUUAUGGGACUGAUAAAGUGGAUGAUUCUCCAUUUGAGUGUCUUUCACACAUAAAGUUAGUGCUCUGUUUGACAAAAGUUACCUACACAAUCAGGAGAGGACAGUAAAGUUACAAUCUUUCCCCUUGUGAGUAUUAGGAGGAAAGCCGACCGUGAGAGAAUAUUUUUGCAUUCUCUUAGACCUCCUAGUCCAUCCCUUCUGGCCCUCAUCAAUAUUUAAUAAGUGUGGGAACAUAGUCUCUGGUACUCGUGUCCUGUUAAUAACUCACACGGUUAGGACUUUGGAAGCAUAUUUGCAGCUUAUGUCAGACUUUUGUUUGAAGCUAACAUAGAAAUUAAGGUGGGGGAUUCUAGAUAUACAUGGUUUUGGAGAGAUGCUUGGAGCCUUGGAGAGGUAGGUCACAGAGCUUUGAAGAUCAAAUAUCAGAACCUUUAUUAGUUUCACUACUAAUACAGGUAGUCUUGUCUCAGAUUGUUGGAAUGGUGGAUGCUGGUGCAUUAGUUUUAGAAGGAUUUGUUUUGAUUGAGAGAUACCUAGAAUGGCUCUCCUAUUGAAUGAUUUAGAUAAGGUGGAGCUUAAUGUGAAGUAUCUUGAGUCUAUAAUCCAGGGAAGUGGGGAUCGACGAUGAUAUCACACAUCGUAUUGGUGCAGCGUGGAUGAAGUGGAGACUUGCAUCCGGAGUCUUGUGUGAUAAAAAACUACCACUGAAACUUAAAGGCAAGUUUUAUAGAGUGGUGGUUAGGCCAACUUCCUUGAAUUCCAGUGUUUAGUUUUAUAUAGUAAGAUCUGUUUCUGAGAUUUCUGGAUGCAAUAGGUGAACUAAACUCAUAGAUAGUUGGGUAAAGUUAAUGGUUUAUGACUACAGAAAAAUGAUGGAAAAUGUGCUUUGCAUGUAAACUCUAUUUUAAUUUUUUUUUUCUGAUGAUGACAAUUAAUAUGCCAUAUCACUGCAGUUGCAAGCUAAGGAGGAUGCGCUGGUUAAUUUCAAAAGUGAACUUUCAGUCACCGAACUUGAGAUUCAGGUUUGCUUCUUCUACGUUGGUGUUAUUGUAAUUUUAUUGCUUCAGAUGUAGUUGUAAGUAUUUGGUGCAUUUGCAUACAGGUUAUAACAAACCUAUGGUUCCUUAUGAUGUGAGGAUUUGUGCCGUAAUUAACUAGAAUGGGAUUUAUGCUAAAUGAAAUUGUCCGCACUUUGAAGAUGAAACUUACCGGGAACUAGAAGAGAAAAUUUAAACAGUUGAUAAUCCAACAUUUGUGUGGGACUUCAACUCUAGCAACUGGCAUUAGCAGCUUAUGUAGUAUAAAUAUAGUUUUGUAUUUUAUUUGACCUGCAGGUUUUGGCUAGAUUGGCUGAAGAAAUUGCUAAAUCUGCUAUCCCAGCUGGUUCAAGAAAAAUUAAAGGGAGAUAUAUCCAGUCACACCUAUUAUCACGUUUGGAAGGUAUUAUUACCUUACUGUAUACUUUCUUGAACUGAACACCGAACUCUUUUGAAUGACAGACAGUGCCAACCUUGUUAGAUUGUAGAUAAAUGUUCAUGGAUAAAUUUAACCUGACAUUUCUAUGAUUGCUGUCUUGAUACUUCUGUUCUUAAGCCAUACGUGAAAAAUUGAAGGAGCAAAUAAAGGGCGUGGAAGCUGUACAAGCCAAAGAGGUUCCUUUAUCCUGGGUUGGGGUAGCAGAGGUAAGUUAUUGAAUAAGUUUCUUCUGCAUCUGCUAACAAUGUUGGAACUGUGGAAUUCCUGACAAUUGAAAACUGUACAAUUGAAAUGACAUACAUCCCUCUACCAGCUUAAAAUUCUUGUGUGCAUUGUGAAAAUUGAAAACUUUGAAGCUGUUUCAGUUAGUCUGGUGUUACUAUCUUUUAUUUUCGGCCUAUUGAGAUUAAACUGGAAAGAGUAUUAUAUCAUUUCCCUCUCAUUUCCCCUUGUUCUUCAUCACUGCUUUCUAUAAUACUAUUUGUUGGAACCUGAAACAGAUAUAGUGUCUCCAAAUAAAGUAAAAAAAUAAAAUACAAGCCUUCAUCUCACUUUUCCCUUAAAAGUUUUCCCCUUAGUUAAAUUGGAAAGCUUGGUUGAAUGUUGAUUGCUUACUUGUCUUGAGAAUAGAAUAGGUCGUGUCUUAUCUUUGGAGUUUCUUAUAGCUUUAAGUGGCAUCCGGAAUUUCUUGCUUAUUUGUUAUGUAAACAUUUUUUAAUAAACCAAGCCUUUUGGUUUGAAAGAAUCUAGGCGAUCCAAUCAGAUGAUACGAUAGAAAAGAAGGUUUAAUAUUUUUCUACUAAGAGUGGUGAGUCCUCUAUUUUUUUCCUUCACUUUAACAAGUUACUCCGUCCGUUCAUUUUUAUUUGUCACUGUUUGACUUGGCACACCCAUUAAGAAAACAAUUAUUGAUAUAGGUAUUUUACCAAACUGUCCCUAUUAAAUGAUCUUUAGUAUUAGGUCUUGGAAAAUGAUUUGGAGAAUAAGUAUUUAACGCUGAGGGUAAAACAUGAAAAAAAAUAAUUGUCUUUUCUUGAUAUGUCAAAAUGAAUAUCUAUUUUAGGAAUAAGUGUCAAGUAAAAAUGAAUGGAGGGAGUAGAUUUUUCAUAGCAAAUGAGUAUAUGUGUACCAUGUGUGCUAUAGCAUAUAUAUUUACUUCAAGAAAAUACUUUCCAUUAUUGAUGUAUCCUGUGAGAUCAACUUUAAGGUAAUAUGCCUAUGUAAUAAUGUAGGUGCAGACAAAAUUUGGUAAAUUUUUUGAAGUAGGACCUCAGUCCUCUUAUAAACUUCCUCGAGCACUAGGUGAAAGAGAUGGAAGUCUGCAUGAGUCUUUUGGCUAUUUAGACUCAACCCAGUGAGUUGUUGGCUAGGGAUACUAUUUCUAUUGGGCGAGUCCAUUAGGGCACGGUUGUGUAUACGAUGUUUCUUUUACGCGUCUAAGGAGGAUGAGAAGAAUUGUGAACCCCCUCUCCCCCCUGUUUGGCAUUUUUAACAACUGUAUGAUUUAUAUUUUGAUUAGCAAAGAUAAACAAAAUGGAGAUAAUGCCUAAAUCAUAUGGUUGGAGUAGUAUUAAAGGUUUAUUUGCUCAAGUUCCUAGUUCCUGCCGAAUUCCCUUUAUGUACAAGGACUUUCGAUCAAGAAAUUGGCACCAAAUUUUCUACUAUUACUUAAAAUGUUUUUCAUUGGAUACACGUUUUGGCAGUCAAUUACAGAAGGCAUUAAAUAUGACCUUGAAUUUUGAUCAUCUUUAGAGUGUGCAAGUAAUGGGCUCCUUUGAUGGUUGGAGUCAAGGAGAGCACUUAUCUCCAGAGUACACCGGCUCUUAUAUGAACUUUUCAGCUACAUUGUUCCUAAGACCUGGAAGGUACGUUUCUCUUCUGCCGCAGAGUAAAUCUGUCAUUGCAUUCUCUCUGAACUCUCAGGUGAAAUUUUUU
rnacentral:lncRNA from 1 species